UACGUAGGGGGCUAGCGUUGUCCGGAAUCAUUGGGCGUAAAGCGCGUGUAGGCGGUCCGGUAAGUCCGCUGUGAAAGUCGGGGGCUCAACCCUCGAAAGCCGGUGGAAACUGUCGGGCUAGAGUGCGGAAGAGGCGAGUGGAAUCCGUGGUGUAGCGGUGAAAAUGCGCAGAGUAUCAGGAGGAACACCAAUUGCGAAGGCAGCUCGCUGGGACGUUACUGACGC
rnacentral:rRNA from 1 species